rnacentral:rRNA from 1 species
GAUGAACGCUGGCGGCGUGCCUAACACAUGCAAGUCGAACGGAGUCCAGCCUUUAAGACCUUCGGGUCAAAGAGGGGAAGACUGAGUGGCGGACGGGUGAGUAACACGUGGGCAACCUGGCUCAUAGAGUGGGAUAACAGAGAGAAAUUUCUGCUAAUACCGCAUAAGCACACACUGCCGCAUGGCAGAGGGUGAAAAGAGAAUCGCUAUGAGAUGGACCCGCGUCUGAUUAGCCAGUUGGCAGGGUAAGAGCCUACCAAAGCGACGAUCAGUAGCCGAUCUGAGAGGAUGAACGGCCACAUUGGGACUGAGACACGGCCCAAACUCCUACGGGAGGCAGCAGUGGGGGAUAUUGCACAAUGGGGGGAACCCUGAUGCAGCGACGCCGCGUGAGUGAAGAAGUAUUUCGGUAUGUAAAGCUCUAUCAGCAGGGAAGAUAAUGACAGUACCUGAAUAAGAAGCCCCGGCUAACUACGUG